AGCAGCCGCGGUAAUUCCAGCUCCAAUAGCGUAUAUUAAAGUUGUUGCAGUUAAAAGCUCGUAGUUGAAUUUCGGGGUUAGUAGAUUGGUCGUGCCACUGGUAUGUACUGGUCUUACUGAUUCCUCCUUCCUGAUGAACCGUAAUGCCAUUAAUUUGGUGUUGCGGGGAGACUGGACUGUUACUUUGAAAAAAUUAGAGUGUUUAAAGCAGGCUAACGCUUGAAUACAUUAGCAUGGAAUAAUGAAAUAGGACGUUCGAUCCUAUUUUGUUGGUUUCUAGGAUUGACGUAAUGAUUAAUAGGGAUAGUUGGGGGCAUUAGUAUUCAAUUGUCAGAGGUGAAAUUCUUGGAUUUAUUGAAGACUAACUACUGCGAAAGCAUUUGCCAAGGAUGUUUUCAUUAAUCAAGAACGAAAGUUAGGGAUCGAAGACGAUCAGAUACCGUCGUAGUC
rnacentral:rRNA from 1 species